rnacentral:lncRNA from 1 species
UUCUGCUGUCUCAGGGUUAUUAUCUGUCCCACCAGCCCUGUCAUUCUGCUGUCUCAGGGUUAUUAGCUGUCCCACCAGUCCUGUCACUAUGCUGUCCCACCAGCCCUGUCACUAUGCUGUCCCAGGGUUAUUAGCUGUCCCACCAGCCCUGUCACUAUGCUGUCCCAGGGUUAUUAGCUGUCCCACAGGCCCUGUCACUAUGCUGUCUCAGGGUUAUUAGCUGUCCCACCAGAAUAUAUUUAAAUCAGCGUGUGUGUAGAGGGCGCUGCAUGUUACAUUCAUCCAAUGGCUGUUUGCAUGAGCUGCAUUGCUAGAAAUAUCUUAAUGCAUCUGUAGAAUAUUAACCUGGUCAGCUUGUAGAACUUUUCAAUCUUUUGCCUAUCUGGGAUAAAUGUUGUCAGUGCAUGACAUUUAGGCUAUAUGACUGACUAGGUAUAGGCUAUAUGACUGACAAAAACACUACUAAAGUGUUAUAACAUCAGAAAAUAACACUGAAAGGAUUUUAACAUUUAAAUUCAAAGCAACUUGUGCAAGACACUGCUGGACUUUGCUUUCAGCGUUGUCUACGAUGUCAAAUCUCUGAGAGUAGGCCAUGCCGUGGUGUUCACAGGGAGGUGAGGAAAUAAAGACGACACCACCAUCUGGUGGUGGGAAGCAGAUUAACAGUACUGCAGAACAAGAUGCUGUCCGUUGACAAGUUUGCUACUGUAACUAUAGGCCAGCUACCUAGAUAUGUGUAAACGUUGUCUUCAAAAGGCAGUGCCUCAGGCUAGCAACCAAUUAAGCCUCUACAUCUGCGUUGCUUACUCUCGUGGGUUUUAGGCUCGGUUUCUGUAUAGGCCUUUGUGACAACUGCUGUUGUAAAUAGGUCUCUAUAAAUAAAUGUGAUUGAUUGAUUGAAGCCUAUCCAAUGGGUUUAGCUGCAAUGCUAUAUGCUUGUUUUGGAACCUGGAUUGGAUACUAAUGGAUGGGUGUUUUGCUGAGAUGUUUGGCUACUGUUUUUAGAACUAAAUCUGGCAACCACUGAAUUGUCUUUAUGCUGGGGACUGGCUAUGGAUUCGAUUUGUUCACAAAAGCCUGUAUCACAAUUGAUCAAUCUAAAGAAUUAAGACCUAUUUCCUGAUUGGAGGUAUCAAGUGAGGGAUUAAAUUGAUUACGAAAACUAACACAUCUGGUAAAUAUAUUUAUAUUCUAACGCAUCUGGUAAAUAAACUUCUGACUGUGGGAAGAUCCCAACUGUUUAAUUCCUCGCGUCUUCUCUCCACUCGUCUCCUUCUCAAACCCCAUUGGAUGAGAGAGCCAGAGAUCCCGCCCAUCUGACUUUCUCCUACAAUGAGUUUUGAGAAGAAGGAGAGAGGAGCGAGGGCGCGAAAGAAACAAUUAAGAUUUGUCCGUUGACAUUUGCGCCCGCUUUAUGGAGUCUGUCACGUGACGAGCGUCCAGUUUGCGUUGAUAAACACGGAAGUGGGACUGAAAUGUGAAAACAAAUCUUUGCCGCAUUGCCUCACAAAGUGUUAUGACACAGUCGUUACCGAUUCUUUUUAAAACGCGCAUAAUCUUAGUUUACGCGAUUUCUGCUGUUAUUUUGAAUUAACCGUAAUUAUUUAUAGUUCUG